AUGACCUGUUGCUGAAUGCGGAAACGACGCGAACAUAUUUAUAUGUCGAUUUAUUUAUUACCUGGAGUUACCUGGGCGUGAUUAGCAAAGUAUACACACAUCAUAUGUACCUCAAAUUACAUCAUUUGGCGAUCACUGUCCUGGUUAGUGAAAUCACAGUGAGAAACGACAUUGAAGAACAGCACAGUGAACUGAAUCGGAACGCAUAUUUAUACGACUAAAUUGCAAUUCAAGGUCCAAUCUCUUCUAUGGUGUUGAUAUUAGAAUAAGUGACACGGCAGCUUAAGUUCAUUAAAACAUCAUUGCAAUAAACAAGCUCUGAAAUGAGUUUUCUAAGACGUUACUUGAAGGGAUGGGGAAGUAGAUUUGCCCCUAGACCCGACCCCAGACCAACAAUCAGAGAUACGGGAAGGGGGUCCAGUAAGAAUAAAUCUGGAUUUUCGGAGGAAGGUCAAGGUCAAACCUAUGAGGAAAUCAAAGCAGAAUGUUUGGAAUCAGGUGGACUUUGGGAAGACCCUGAUUUCCCUGCGGAAGACUGCUCUAUAUUCUUCAACAGUCCACCACCGUGUUACCCGGUAGAGUGGAAACGCCCAAGUGAGUUUGCUGAUGAUCCACAACUAAUAGUUGGUGAGGCAAGCAGGUUCGAUAUCAAUCAAGGGGUCCUCGGAGACUGUUGGUUACUAGCAGCAGUGGCCUCUUUAGCAACCAAUGAAAAGCUUCUGUUCAGGGUUGUGCCACAAGAUCAGUCUUUCUCUGAAGACUAUGCAGGUAUAUUCAGGUUUCAAUUCUGGCAGUAUGGGCGCUGGGUUGAAGUGAUUAUAGAUGAUAGACUCCCCACAUACAACGAUAAACUCAUCUAUAUGCAUUCUGAAGAAAGGAAUGAAUUUUGGACUCCUCUUUUGGAAAAGGCCUAUGCAAAAUUGAACGGAUGUUAUGAGAGCCUUUCCGGUGGGCUUACUUGCGAGGCAAUGACUGACUUCACAGGCGGAGUUGUGGAACUAGUUGAUAUGGCCAAUGACUGCCCAGAUAACCUAUUUAAAGUCAUGCUUAGAGCUUAUGAAAAGGGCUCCAUAAUGGGGUGCUCCAUUAACGCUAACCCAGACGAGAUGGAGGCGAAGCUUGACAACGGUCUGGUGAUAGGCCAUGCUUAUAGUGUCACAGCAGUAAAAUACGUGGAGGUGGAAACUCCAACAGCAUCAGGAGUGAUUCCAAUGGUAAGAGUGCGGAAUCCAUGGGGAAACGAAUGCGAGUGGCGCGGAGCUUGGAGUGACUCGUCAGAAGAAUGGCAGUUUGUACCGGAUGAUGAAAAGGAAGAGUUGGGGCUAUCCAAGGAAUAUGAUGGCGAGUUUUGGAUGUCAUAUGAAGACUUCUCCACAAACUUCAUGCGACUAGAGAUAUGUAACCUUGGCCCAGAUUCCCUCGAGGAUGACGAUGGCAACACACGCUGGGAAAUGACAUUACAGGAAGGGUCAUGGAGGCGGAGAUCCAGCGCUGGGGGUUGCAGGAACUAUCCAAGAUCUUUUGCGAUGAACCCCCAAUAUAGAAUAAACAUCCCAGACGCUGAUGACGAUGACGAUGAAGAGAUGGGAACCAUUGUUGUUGGCUUAAUGCAGAAAGGCCGUAGGAAACUGCGUAAAACUGGCGAAGAUAAUCAUCCAAUUGGCUAUGCAAUAUAUCAGCUUGAAGACUCUGGAUCUGGGACUCUACCGAGUCAAUAUUUCGAAACGCAUGCAUCUGCAGAUCGUUCCCCAAACUUUAUCAACACCAGAGAGAACAGUUUCCGACAUCGUUUGACACCCGGGGAAUAUGUUAUCGUUCCAUCUACAUUUGAUCCCGAUCAAGAGGCAGAUUUUAUAUUGAGGGUGUUUAGCGAAAAACCAAACGAGACAGGUGAGAUAGACGAGGAGACGGCUGUUGGUGGUGAACUAGAGGAUCCACCAGAAGAUAAUGAAGAGGACCAGGAACAGGCCAAUCGGGCAUUAGAAGCAUUUAAGAAUCUAGCUGGGGAAGACGGUGAAAUAGACGCAUAUGAACUGAAGGAUAUUCUUAAUCAGGUCUAUGGACAGCAUUUCGAUUUCGGGGGAUUCACAACUGAUGCUUGCAGAAGUCUUGUUGCUACUAGAGACCUUGAUUAUACUGGUAAACUUGGAUUCGAGGAAUUCCGAGGACUCUAUGGUGACCUCAAACUAUGGAAGCAAGUUUUUAACGAGGUAGAUAUUGACGGCAGUGGACACUUCAGCAGUUAUGAACUUCGAUCAGCCCUCAAAAGACUGAAAUAUCAGCUGAGUAACUCAACGUUUAGUGCUGUGGCGAUGAGAUACAGCAACAAUGAAGGACUGGUUGAGUUCGAUGAUUUCAUCAGUUGUAUGGUUAAGCUGAAGACAAUGACAGCCACCUACAUGAGCAAUGAGACUGAUGAUGGAACGUCAACAUUCCAAAUGGACGAGUUCAUGCAGACGACCAUGUAUUCGUAGAUAGUUGAACAAGAAUCUCAAACAGAAAGUUUAUGCAAAUGACCAUGUAUGCUUAAUUGGUGAUGUUAGACAUAUACGCUUAGCUUGGCAACAAGUGACGUGAAAAGGAUAAGGACGAGCAAUAAGACUACAUAGAGCAUUGAUAUAGACUCACUUUAUAACGAUAUUAUUAUCAUACAUCAUUGUAUGUAUGUUGCAAUAUAUUUUUUGAGUUUAAGGUAGUGGAAUAUUAAUGUAUUAUUUGUAUAUCUUCACGUUCAAAGCAUAUUCAAGUACAAAACAAGUGCUGCGAUUCAUUACCGUAGUACUACCAUUUUUUGCUUUACAAUAAGGGAGGACUCAUUUGAACAUAAAUUAUCCAUUUGGUUGAAACGGACUAAAACAAGUUACAACUAUCCAAAUAAUGGAUAACUGAACGCUGAAAAUGUUAUUUUUACAGACAUUUUCUGCUGACUAGCUGACAUUUUUUAAGGAUUUAGAACAACAUAGCUUACUAUAUAAUUAUUUUAUAAAACAAGUAUUUUACUAAAUAUAUUAUACCAUUAUAUAAGACAUGCUCUCUUUAUUUUGUUGAUUUACAAAUAGACUCCCCACUGUAUCGUGUUUGUGCUUUACAUAACCAGUUUAACUCGUAUAUUUGCCAAUUCAUGCUCGUAGCGACCAAGGGUUCGAGGGGUCCGUGCGAAACCCCUGUUAAAGUUCCCCCAAAUUUUACCUUGUAACAGAAUUUCGU
rnacentral:misc_RNA from 1 species